rnacentral:rRNA from 1 species
UACAGAGGUCCCAAGCGUUGUUCGGAUUCAUUGGGCGUAAAGGGUGCGUAGGUGGCGCGCUAAGUCAGGUGUGAAAUUUCGGAGCUUAACUCCGAAACUGCAUUUGAUACUGGCGUGCUUGAGGACUGGAGAGGAGACUGGAAUUUACGGUGUAGCAGUGAAAUGCGUAGAGAUCGUAAGGAAGACCAGUGGCGAAGGCGGGUCUCUGGACAGUCCCUGACACUGAGGCACGAAGGCCAGGGGAGCAGACGGG